rnacentral:rRNA from 1 species
AUUGAACGCUGGCGGCAUGCCUUACACAUGCAAGUCGAACGGUAACAGGUCUUCGGAUGCUGACGAGUGGCGAACGGGUGAGUAAUACAUCGGAACGUGCCUAGUAGUGGGGGAUAACUACUCGAAAGAGUGGCUAAUACCGCAUGAGAUCUACGGAUGAAAGCAGGGGAUCGCAAGACCUUGUGCUACUAGAGCGGCCGGUGGCAGAUUAGGUAGUUGGUGGGAGAAAAGCUUACCAAGCCGACGAUCUGUAGCUGGUCUGAGGGGACGAGCAGCCACACUGGGACUGAGACACGGCCCAGACUCCUACGGGAGGCAGCAGUGGGGAAUUUUGGACAAUGGGCGCAAGCCUGAUCCAGCAAUGCCGCGUGCAGGAUGAAGGCCUUCGGGUUGUAAACUGCUUUUGUACGGAACGAAAAGCCCUGGGUUAAUACCCUGGGGUCAUGACGGUACCGUAAGAAUAAGCACCGGCUAACUACGUGCCAGCCGCCGCAGUAAUAC